rnacentral:rRNA from 1 species
AUUGAACGCUGGCGGCAGGCUUAACACAUGCAAGUCGAGCGGAGUGAUGGUGCUUGCACUAUCACUUAGCGGCGGACGGGUGAGUAAUGCUUAGGAAUCUGCCAUUUAGUGGGGGACAACAUUCCGAAAGGAAUGCUAAUACCGCAUACGUCCUACGGGAGAAAGCAGGGGAUCUUCUGACCUUGCGCUAAAUGAUGAGCCUAAGGCGGAUUAGCUAGUUGGUGGGGUAAAGGCCUACCAAGGCGACGAUCUGUAGCGGGUCUGAGAGGAUGAUCCGCCACACUGGGACUGAGACACGGCCCAGACUCCUACGGGAGGCAGCAGUGGGGAAUAUUGGACAAUGGGCGGAAGCCUGAUCCAGCCAUGCCGCGUGUGUGAAGAAGGCCUUUUGGUUGUAAAGCACUUUAAGCGAGGAGGAGGCUACUAGUACUAAUACUACUGGAUAGUGGACGUUACUCGCAGAAUAAGCACCGGCUAACUCUGUGCCAGCAGCCGCGGUAAAAC